AGAACGAACGCUGGCGGCAUGCCUAAUACAUGCAAGUCGAACGAAUGCCCUUCGGGGUGUUAGUGGCGCACGGGUGCGUAACGCGUGGGAAUCUGCCCUUGGGUUCGGAAUAACAGUUAGAAAUGACUGCUAAUACCGGAUGAUGACGUAAGUCCAAAGAUUUAUCGCCCAGGGAUGAGCCCGCGUAGGAUUAGCUAGUUGGUGGGGUAAAGGCCUACCAAGGCGACGAUCCUUAGCUGGUCUGAGAGGAUGAUCAGCCACACUGGGACUGAGACACGGCCCAGACUCCGACGGGAGCAGCAGUAGGGAUAUGGACAAGUGGGACGAAAGCCUGACGUACCAGAC
rnacentral:rRNA from 1 species